ACAAAAAAAACCCUAUCGAUCCCCUCGAGGUCACAAGCACACAGCGCCGCCGAUCCUCUCGAUCCACCCCUCCCUAUGCGACCUCUCUCCUUCCCUCUCCUCGCUCUCCGGCGCCGCCCCCAUCUCCCGCUCCGGCACCGCCCCUACUGCUCCGCCGGCCCGACGCAGCCGGAUCUCACAGCCCGAUCUCAUGCGAUCUCACAGCCGCCGCCGCCGAUCUCACAGCCGGAUCUCGUGCGAUAUCGCGCCGCCGACGUACGGAGUCGCCUCCACGGUACGGGAUCACCGCCGCUGACGUAAGAGGUCACGUCGCUGCCACCACUGACUUACCCGCGCUGCUCGCUGCUCUGCUCGUGUCACGCCUCCUCGGUCAUGUUUGCCGCCAUGGCCACCAGUCCCCACCUCGAUCUGUCAUCCCCUUGACCAGCCACCCAUGUCCUAGCCAUGUUGUUGUUGCUGAUCUCCCCUCCCCAACCCGUAGGUGCACACCACCCCCUUCCCCUCCCUCCAUUCCCCCCGCUAGCGGCCUCCUUCAAUAGAUGUGGGCGCUGCAGGUGGACAAUAUGGAGGUUCCGGCUGUCGCUGGUGUCAAACGACAAGAUGGGUAGCGAGACAGCCGUCGUGACUUCAGGUAUGUUUGCUUGAGUGUGUCUUUUUUUUUUCCUUGUGCGCUGCUUCAAUUUCUUUAACUAACCCGCCAGCGGAGAAGAAGGUGCCCUGGAUUGAGAAGGUUGGUGAGCACGCUAAGAUGCAACAUACUCUAGGGGGCGCAGUGACCAAAUUGUUAAGAAUAUUAGACUCUGGUGUCGUGAUGUUGUAUACAAGAUAUUGAUUGGCAUCAAAUAGUUUCAGGUUUGUUCUUGAAUUCGAUUCAUGCUGUUCAUGGCGUCUGCUUAUAAUCAGGUUUAAAUUUCUGGUGUUUCAUGUAAUUUAUUGUCAACAUUAUGUAUCUUUUCUUCUAUAACCCUUAUUGCUCAAAUCAGAUUUGGUAUCUCCAAUAAGUCCCCAAUCUCAGGCACAUUUAGUUUCAUGUUGAAUGCAUUAUAGCCAAUUCAAUUUAUUUUGUACGUAUAGCUAUUGAUCCUUUAUGAUUCAUGAGAUUGUUGACAAAUUGCAAAAUUAUUCUUUGGUUAUAAUUCUAUGGUUCUCUCUGGCUGCAGACAACUUUUUAUCUCUGCAUACAUGUUCCUUAUGACAAUUAAAGGAUACUAAUUUCUUUUUUUUAAUAUUACAGGAGAUGCGUAUACGUAAGUUUGACUUUCAGAUAAUACAUGCCAAAUUAAUGUUAUGUCGUGCAUGAAGGCAGGGUAAUGGUGAAGCUUCAUUCUGACGGUCUAGAAGUUUUUAUUUGGUGUUUCCCUCGGCAGGGUAAUGGAGGAAGAUGAGACUUACCCCAGUUUUCAGUGCAUGGUUGGAGAAGAGGAUUAGAGGAGAGGCUUGAAUCUUGAGGUGACAAGGGUAGUCAUCUGGUGCAACUAAAGGUUCAGUUUCAUACUUGUGAUGAUAUUGUUCAGUUUGCCUGGAUGAUUGCCCUUGUACUACUCUUUCAGAAGGAAGGAGGUAAAUGGAGCAAAAGGCACGAGGAGAAAGGAGUAACGCCAUAGGGACGACGUUGUCGGCAGCGCCUUUGAAAGGAUUCGCCAUGGAGAAGCUACGGUGGCUGACCAUCUUGCUCGGGAAGUGGGAAGGAUGUCAUUCGGAACGCCCCUAGGUUCUAGGGGCGUGCGUCCAUGCGGCGGCCGAGGUGGCCACAAGGAGUUGGAUUGGGCACUUGCCAAUCAAAGCGUGUCGUUGCUCAAGUAUGCCAAUUUAUCCGUGAUGGCAACCUAACAUUUGGAGAUAACGACGGCCUCACCAGAGUAAGGGGAAAAUUGUGGGAGUGGACGCACAUCAUGUAGGUGAAACGGGAGAGUUUGUGGUCGUAGCAGCUGUGUUCUUCUUACAGUUUUCCUUCUCUGAAUUGCAUCUUUGGUACAUCUAUAUUUAUUAUUUAAUAGCAUGGAGAGAAAGUUAUAAAUCGGUAUUUUCAUCUCUUAUGCAAUUGAUUCUGUAUAGAGGAAAAGUAUGCACUCUUUUCUCAUUCUUUCACAAUAUAUCCUCCUUUUGAUGUCUUAUCUAACCUGCCCAUGCCUCAGCAAUGACACAUUUGAGGAGUCUGAACUCCGAAGGAAGGUGACGACGAGUUGAACCCAUGGAAUUAUGGCAAGGAGCUGGACACCCAAAUUUGUGUCCUCGCCAUAUACCUGCGCGCAAUACCUGAUAAACAUUCUUCUUAGAUUAAGAAUCGAACUCAACCACAGCAGACCAGAAGAGAAGGAAGGAAGAUGCAAUGUGUACCUGACAUGAGGCAGCGACCGUGGCGAACAAAUGGAGGCAGGACACCAGCAUCUUGAUGUUGCACGAGGUCUCAGGGGUUGCUGAUGAUAUGCAUCUGCUUGUGAAUCCCCUGCUCCACGCCCUUGGCAUCGCCCCCUGCUCCUCAACCCCUUGUGCCGCUCGUGUCCAGGCACAUGGGAGAAGCUUGAGGUUGCCGCACGCCUGCUCGUCCCUCCCGCCGCCACCAGCAACCGGCGCCCAUGAAAAGCGGCGGCGCUUCCCUCGCCCUCGAGCGUCCGCAUCCGAGAGUCACUCCCCGUGGCAGGUUGAGACCCGUCGAGGCGAAUACGGCUUGGGGAGGUGUUGGCGGCGGCAACCCUAGCGGCGGCGGCGGCGGCUGCAGUGGAAAGAACGAGAGAGAUGGGAAGUUGCGUGCAAUGGGAAGCAAACGCGAGGCGCUCUUCUCGUUCUCCUGUAAUGUGGUGGGCCAACCAGGACCAAAAAAAGAACAACACGAAUACGCCAAUACGGAACGAGCUUUUCCACA